rnacentral:rRNA from 1 species
GUGCCAGCAGCCUCGGUUAUACGUAGGGUGCCGAUGCGUUAAUCGGAAUUUAUCUGGGCGUAAAGCGUGCGUCAGGCGGUUAUGUAAGACAGAUGUGAAAUCCCCGGGCUCAACUCUGGGAACUGCAUUAGUGACUGCAUAGCUGGAGUACGGUCAGAUGGGGGAUGGAAUUCCGCGUGUAGCAGUGAAAUGCGUAGGUAUGCGGAGGAACACCGAUGGCGAAGGCAAUCCCUGGGCCUGUACUGACGCUCAUGCACGAAAGCGUGGGGAGCAAACAGGAUUAGAU